rnacentral:lncRNA from 1 species
CCCAAACAAUUUCAGGAACAAGAUGUCCUAGCAUAGUGCUGUGAAAAUGGCAUUGGAUUUCUAGUCAGAGGACUAGGACCUAGCUCUAAAUAUGUGAUCCAAUUAACUUCUAAAGGAGUUCAGUUAAUGGAGAGAUAGAUCUUUGAGGCCCAAAGUUGUUGAAUCACUUGGAGGAGUCAGAACAUUAGUCACACCUGGCACAGUCUUGAUUUCAAGUUUUUCUACCACACAAAUUGGACAAAUAUUUUAUCCAAAGACUUUCGGGACUGGGGAAUCGUUGGCCAGCUGUGCCUCUGAACCUCUGCUUUUCACUCUCACCUGCUUUGAGAAAUUUGAUCAACUCCAACAGGGACAUGAAAUAUUCAUUCACUGCUCCUAGAGAUUGUUGUCCUGUGACUGCCCAGGGUUAAACUAGGAAAUAUUCCUCACAUUGAUUGUACCUCAAUAGCAUUUGUCCAAAACAUUUCUUGGCAAAAUCAGAGUAAAGUAUUUUUAAAAAUAUUUAAUUAAAAAGUCAACAUAGAACUUUGGUAAUAAAUUAAUUUCAAGGAAAAAAAAACUGUAUCA